rnacentral:lncRNA from 1 species
UCCAGACUUGUCCUUUAACUCAGGGUGCUUGGACUCCAGGCAGCAAAGCAGUUUUUAACGCUUCAUUUUUGGGUAGCCAUUUACCACACAUUAUAAAAAUCAGACUUACAGACUACCUAUUGCAAUGAACCCUAUAGUGUAAGUUGGACUCUUCGUGUAUCUGGCUUUCUUUUUGUUGGCUUCUGCUGUCUCAUCAGUGCCCUUUUCGAAGAAUAGCUCCAGUGGUAUUGUUUUGUUGUUCUUGUUGUUGUUGUUGUUGGUUGGUUGGUUUACUCAUUUUGGAAAGGAUUUACUUGUAGGUUUAUUCAUAAUGGUGACCAAGACAAGUGUGCAGUGUGGGAAAGAAGUGCAGAUGGAAAUGGUAAAUAAAAUAAUGGGCAGACCAUGCAUGGAAUAAGGGAUCAAACUCAGGACCUUGUGUUUGCGGCUAGCAGGCGGUGGAACCACUGAGCUAAAUCCCUGGCUUAAAUACUUCAGUUUUUGGCACCAUCAAGUGAACAGCUUUGCCCCACCAUGCCCUUCUACCAUGAUGUUUCUGCCUUGGAACCAGCCGCCCAUGAACUGACGCCCCUGAAAC